rnacentral:lncRNA from 1 species
AAACAAAAUAAAAUCAGAAGAUGGAAGCUUUUAUCCACACUUACUGCUUCCAGAACCUCCCCGCUUCUCGUUGGGUUCCUCAAACAUGCCCUGAAGGCCCUAAAGACAAGCCCACCGUUAUGCUGUUUAUCACCGACACCAUGUGCUCCAUUCUCCUCGUACGAUGCUUGGUCAGAAUAAAGGGCAACAAUUUCCUCUUUUCUUCGAGACCACCAUCCCCUUCUCACAUCGGUUCCAUGUUCGUCUCUGGAAGGAGCGAUCGAUGCUGACAGCGUGAGAUUGGAGCCAUAGCUUUGAUAUGCGUUUAUGGUGAUUGAAUUCGUUGAUCGUACAGUGGAGAAUGAUUAA